rnacentral:rRNA from 1 species
UACGUAGGGGGCAAGCGUUGUCCGGAAUCAUUGGGCGUAAAGCGCGUGUAGGCGGCCCGAUAAGUCCGCUGUGAAAGUCCAGGGCUCAACCCUGGAAUGCCGGUGGAUACUGUCGGGCUCGAGUCCGGAAGAGGCGAGUGGAAUUCCUGGUGUAGCGGUGAAAUGCGCAGAUAUCGGGAGGAACACCGGUGGCGAAGGCGGCGACCUGGGUAGAUACUGACGCUGAGGCGCGAAAGCGUGGGGAGCAAACAGG